GAUGAAGUGAAAAAUAACCCCAAGAGCACAGCGACAACUCAUCCAACAGGUCACAAAAGACCCCACAACAACAUCCAAAGAACUGCAGGCCUCACUUGCUUCAGUUAAGGUCAGUGUUCAUAACUCCACCAUAAGACGAAAACCACCACCGAGCAAAAAGAACAUGAAGGCUCGUCUCAGUUUUGCCAGAAAAUAUGUUGAUGAUCCCCAAGACUUUUGGGAAAAUACUCUGUGGACUGACGAGACAAAAGUUGAACUUUUUGGAAGGUGUGUGUCCCAUUCCAUCUGGCAUAGAAGUAACACAACAUUUCAGAAAAAGAACAUCAUACCAACAGUAAAAUACGGUGGUGGUAGUGUGAUGGUCUGGGGCUGUUUUGCUGCUGCAGGACCUGAAAGACUUGCUGUGGUAACUGGAACCAUGAAUUCAGCUGGCUACCAAAAAACCCUGAAGGCGAGUGUCCAGCCAUCUGUUUGUGACCUCAAGCUGAAGCAAACUUGGGUUCUGCAACAGGACAGUGAUCCAAAACACACCAGCAAGUCCACCUCUGAAUGGCUGAAGAAAAACAAAAUGAAGACCCGACCUGAAUCCUAUUGAGAUGAUGUGGCAUGACCUUUGAAAAGGGAGACGGGUGACAAGUCCCAUCCCCACCAGCGCCUUUCUGAAAAGUUGAGAGAUUAUCGACUUGGAUUUGCUGCACAGAGAAGGCUCUGAAAAAAGUCGGUAGAGGUAGUGCAUUUUCUCCAGGUGGCUGCUUCUCUGCUCAUUAGAAACAACUGAAAAAAGAUGCUGACGCUCAGACAGAAACACUAUGUGGACACAAAAGUAAAACACUGUAUACUGCGUGUUUUAUUUUGUUUUAUUGUACACCUAUUAGAUGAAAUCUACUUCUAGUUAAAACCAAAAGUCCAAAUAGAAUUUCAGUCUAGCUAAAUUACGGAGCUGAGCUGACUGUUAACUUAUCACAGAGUCAAAGGUCGAGUCGUACAGGACAGCUGAGAACAGGAAUCCUUCGUCUGGCUCCAGAAGACGGCAGAUUUAAAAAAGAUCCAUGAGGACAACAGACUGUGUGAAUUAGGAAAGGUCUGUUCUGUAUGAUGAGUUAAGAAUAUAUCUAAAAUCAAAUCAAACCUUUGCCUUGACCCACAGAAGAUGACGGUGGCGGGGAUCGUCACGUCUCUGCUCUUACCUCUGUUUGCUCAGAUUCAGAUCUGCUGGAUAAAAGUAACAAAACAAAACGUACGAGGGAACGUGGCAGGCUCCCAACAUCUAUUCAGAAACCAAUUGUGACAGUGUUAGACCCACUAAUCAAUGAAUGUACUCGGUGUGUCCUGUUUUGUUCGUCUGUAUUUGUAUUUUCAGCCUGUUUGAAUCCUUAGAAAGCGGUGAUGAUUUAGCAUUAACCAACAUAGAUUAAUGGGAUUUUGCUUUGUCAGUCCUGAGGCAGGAAAUUGACAGAAUCUGGGCAAGAAAUCCUCGUUUCCCGGCACCUGGAAUCAAUCCCAACCUAAUACAACACUAUGCCUCGUAUACAGCCCUCUAAAUCCUCCAUACACUCUCACAGCACUCAAGGUAACAAAAUUAAAUGUUUUCUAAUUUAAAGACAGACUUAGUGGUGAGAGGAUAGCCAUCACAUUUGUUCUCUGCUUAGUGGACCUCUGCUCGGCUACCCAGACUUCUUAAAUAAUGCAUUCUCUAUGAGGUGCCCCUGUGAUUCUGUAUGAAUUUUUAAAGUUCAAUAAACGUUUCUUAUCCACCGGCCAUACCUAAUGGCACCCAUUACUAUUUUAUGCUCAAGCAUUUUGCACAGUGUUAAAGUCUAUGGCACUGUACAGCAUUACUUCAA